rnacentral:tRNA from 1 species
GACCGCGUAGCUCAGUUGGAAGAGCAUUGGGCUACUAUUCCAAAGGUCGUAGGUUCGAAUCCCACCGUGGCCG